CUUCCCACCCACAGACUGGGAAGUAAUCCUAUAUAUAUUGGUUGUUCACCCUGUACUUAAAACCUUAAAGGUUCUCCUCAGCUCACUGACUUUUGUCACACAAACAAAGAAAAAUGCCAGAAGAAGUUCCUGCUCAGUGCAAGGUUCCCAAAGAUGAGCUGGACAAGUGUGUUCAAGGGAUAGGAGCAGAGGGCUGUAAGGAGCUGCUGGAAGCCUUUGAGGCCUGUGUGAAGGGGGCCACAGCGGCCUCGUGAGGGGGACAUGAUUUUACAUGUCCUUCCUUUCUGGGUCCUCCAGUGUCCUUGCAUUCCCUCACAUUGUACUGGACUGAACCAUUUUAAGGACAGUGAAAGGGGUGCAAGCCCUGGAAAGCAGUGGAAUUGUUUAUUUUGAUCCUGAGAAGUUGGUGUCCCUCAUGUUGUCCAUGUUAUUUGUAACUGUGAAAGAAAGAAGAACCCAGUUUUGUUAUUUUUUUUUAAUUUUUUCAAAAUGUACACUGUGAAAGAGCACAAUGCAUUUCAUCUGAUUUUGAAUAAAUUACUAUAAUUGUUUA